rnacentral:rRNA from 1 species
AGUGAACGCUGGCGGUAGGCCUAACACAUGCAAGUCGAACGGCAGCACAGUAAGAGCUUGCUCUUACGGGUGGCGAGUGGCGGACGGGUGAGGAAUACAUCGGAAUCUACUUUUUCGUGGGGGAUAACGUAGGGAAACUUACGCUAAUACCGCAUACGACCUACGGGUGAAAGCAGGGGAUCUUCGGACCUUGCGCGAUUGAAUGAGCCGAUGUCGGAUCAGCUAGUUGGCGGGGUAAAGGCCCACCAAGGCGACGAUCCGUAGCUGGUCUGAGAGGAUGAUCAGCCACACUGGAACUGAGACACGGUCCAGACUCCUACGGGAGGCAGCAGUGGGGAAUAUUGGACAAUGGGCGCAAGCCUGAUCCAGCCAUACCGCGUGGGUGAAGAAGGCCUUCGGGUUGUAAAGCCCUUUUGUUGGGAAAGAAAAGCAGCAGGUUAAUACCCCGCUGUUCUGACGGUACCCAAGGAAUAAGCACCGGCUAACUUCGUG